AAACCGACACAGGUAGGUAGGUAGAGUAUACCAAGGGGCGCGAGAUAACUCUCUCUAAGGAACUCGGCAAAAUGACCCCGUAACUUUGGGAGAAGGGGUACCUUAUAGGUUGCAAUAACAAGGUCCAAGCGACUGUUUAUCAAAAACACAGGUCUCCGCAAAGUUGAAAGACAAUGUAUGGGGGCUGACGCCUGCCCAGUGCCGGAAGGUUAAAGAAGCUGGUUAGCUUUUGCGAAGCUGGUGACUGAAGCCCCGGUGAACGGCGGCCGUAACUAUAACGGUCCUAAGGUAGCGAAAUUCCUUGUCGGGUAAGUUCCGACCUGCACGAAUGGCGUAACGAUGGCCAAACUGUCUCCACCCGAGACUCAGUGAAAUCGAAAUCGCUGUGAAGAUGCAGUGUUCCCGCGGCUAGACGGAAAGACCCCGUGAACCUUUACUAUAGCUUUACGCUGAAUUUUGAGUAUUUUUGUGUAGGAUAGGUGGGAGACUUUGAAACUUGGGCGCCAGCUCAGGUGGAGUCAUCCUUGAAAUACCACCCUGAAAUACUUGGAAUUCUAACCUCGACCCAUUAUCUGGGUUAGGGACAGCGUAUGGUGGGUAGUUUGACUGGGGCGGUCUCCUCCCAAAGAGUAACGGAGGAGCGCGAAGGUAACCUCAGCACGGUCGGAAAUCGUGCAAUGAGUGCAAAGGCAUAAGGUUGCUUGACUGCGAGUCAGACACGACGAGCAGGUACGAAAGUAGGUCUUAGUGAUCCGGUGGUUCUGUAUGGAAGGGCCAUCGCUCAACGGAUAAAAGGUACUCCGGGGAUAACAGGCUGAUUCCUCCCAAGAGUCCACAUCGACGGAGGAGUUUGGCACCUCGAUGUCGGCUCAUCACAUCCUGGAGCUGAAGAAGGUUCCAAGGGUUCGGCUGUUCGCCGAUUAAAGUGGUACGCGAGCUGGGUUUAGAACGUCGUGAGACAGUUUGGUCCCUAUCUACUGUAAAUGUAAGAAAAUUGUGAGAACUAGACCCUAGUACGAGAGGACCAGGAAAAGUAAACCUCUGGUGUACCGGUUGUUUUUUCUUAAAGCACCGCCGGGUAGCUAAGUUUAUGUAUGAGAAUCACUGAAACCAUAUAAGUGAGAAACUGCGCUCAAAACAAAUUUUCUAUAAAUCGUGUUAAAGACGAUAACACAAAUAGGCUUGAUGUGUAAGUUUUGUAAAAAAUUGAGCAAACAAGUCCUAAUGGAUGAA
rnacentral:rRNA from 12 species